rnacentral:rRNA from 1 species
CCUACGGGAGGCAGCAGUGAGGAAUAUUGGUCAAUGGCCGAGAGGCUGAACCAGCCAAGUCGCGUGAGGGAAGAAUGUCCUAUGGAUUGUAAACCUCUUUUGUCAGGGAGCAAAGUCACCCACGUGUGGGUGUUGGAGAGUACCUGAAGAAAAAGCAUCGGCUAACUCCGUGCCAGCAGCCGCGGUAAUACGGAGGAUGCGAGCGUUAUCCGGAUUUAUUGGGUUUAAAGGGUGCGUAGGCGGGCAUUUAAGCCGGCGGUCAAAUGUCGGGGCUCAACCCCGGCCUGCCGUCGGGACUGGGUGCC